rnacentral:siRNA from 1 species
UGAAUACUGUGUGCUAGCUAGC